rnacentral:rRNA from 1 species
GAUUUCUCUACCAAUAAUUGCAGCAAAAUUCUCUCUUUGUGUGUUUCUUACUUCACAUCUGUGUAUGUGAUGAAGUGGAAAGAUUUCUUCCCAAAUAAAGAGUUGAGAGAGGCUCCAUAUUUUGAUGGGCGAGUUGUCUGCUAUCCAAAUAUGAAGACGAUUCAUGAUUAUUUGGCAUGGAGGCAACUGGACUGUAAGCUUCUUGAACUACAGUCGACAGUUUCCUAG